GGGAGGUAGUGACAAUAAA
rnacentral:siRNA from 1 species